rnacentral:misc_RNA from 1 species
GAGCCCUCGACCGUGCAAGAAUGCCCCUGCUCUAGCAACCUGCGCGCCAACGUGCACCAAGUCCCUGGUCCCAGGAUGAUGGUUUCCGUCGGUGGGGCUGUGACGUUCAACCUCAAAGCCAAAGGAAUUUGCGCACUCACGAGACCCGAGCACGGUAGCCUGAUCCUAAAGACUUGCAGCGUGACUGGCACCUCUCCCCUAGCCGACACGUUCACUCUGGGAGGAAGCAGUGCCAUCAUUCCGGAUACACCGCCCGGAACACCGACUACGUCGUAAUCCAAUUCCAUCGAGUACGGUAACUGAUUCACGGCAUACGUAUAUCGCUCUCAGCUUAUAAUUUGCAGAUCAAAUUGGCUUGUCCAUUCCAUCUAUCGAAGAAGACGAGAUAAGUUAAUCCGACAAAUGCUCCAGUAAAAUUUCGUUGAGUCAGAGAUUCGAUGCAAUGUCCAGGAAUAGGGAUCUUGAUAGAGACGAGAACGAUAGUCGAUCGACCGAGUUCAGUUACGUUCGUUUGCUCGAUAUCCACUUCAGGAUCCUCGUAAUAACGUAAAAACGUUUACUUAGGAAAUGUCUGCUUUCAUUCAGGGCCUGUUAAACUCCGGCACGCAGAUUUCGAAUCAGCUGCCACGAACACUUGAACCGCUUUCCGGCCACGCACGGCUUCGUGUAUACUCCAUUGUGUACGGAACAAACCUCCGUUCGACGUGAAUCCGUACACCGUACAUUAUACGCAUUGUUGGUGGCGACGAAAAGGACGCCGUGUACGCUACACUAUCCUGCUCCGUGACAACAUCAACAAAACACACGGACCUCCUGAUGGAUGCGGACUUCUCUAUUCGAAUAUUUCGAAAUUGUUUUAGUGAUUUCGUUAUCGGUGACCGUUCGAACGAAAGAAUACACGGUACUUCGCGCGAGAAUUCAAACGUUUACAGUGGUAUACAAAUGUACCUGGCCAGAUAGAUUUUAAAUUUUAUAUUUCAAAAGCAGUAUCUAAAAGGAUUUUACAGAUAGGAUAGAAGAGAUAAAAAAGAUCGUCAAACAUCGAGCGAUGGCCAAGCAUACGAAUAAUACGAAAUUUUUAUUCGAGAAUUUAGUUUCGAAUAACAUAUAUCUGACUCGUUAUAUCUCCAUUUAGAUUUUAUCUCCCUUUAUCGUUUUCGUCUCUCCUCGUCAUUUUGUAGCGUCUGAAUAUUACAUAAUUGGCCGAUUAGAAAUAAUUUUAGGCGAUAAACUAACUGUGAGAAAAAUUUGAUCUAAAAAUAGGUAUAAGAGCAUGGAACAUAGUAUCCACAACAAACAAA